UACGUAGGGUGCAAGCGUUGUCCGGAAUUAUUGGGCGUAAAGAGCUCGUAGGCGGUUUGUCGCGUCGAAUGUGAAAACCCGGGGCUCAACCCCGGGCCUGCAUUCGAUACGGGCAGACUAGAGUUCGGUAGGGGAGUCUGGAAUUCCUGGUGCAGCGGUGAAAUGCGCAGAUAUCAGGAGGAACACCGGUGGCGAAGGCGGGACUCUGGGCCGAUACUGACGCUGAGGAGCGAAAGCGUGGGGAGCAAACAGG
rnacentral:rRNA from 1 species